rnacentral:rRNA from 1 species
GACGAACGCUGGCGGCGUGCCUAAUACAUGCAAGUAGGACGCAGUUGCGAACGGGUGAGUAACGCGUAGGUAACUACCUAUUAGAGGGGGAUAACUAUUGGAAACGAUAGCUAAUACCGCAUACUAGUAGAUGGACCUGCGUUGUAUUAGCUAGUAGGUAGGGGAAUGGCCUACCUAGGCAAAGAUACAUAGCCGACCUUGUAGGGGGAUCGGCCACACCUGGACUGAGACACGGGCCCGACUCCUUCCGGAGGCAGCAGUAGGGGAUCCUCCGCAAUGGGGGGAACGCUGACCGAGCAACGCCGCGUGAGUGAAAAAGGUUUUCGGAUCGUAAAGCUCUGUUGUUAAGGAAGCGGUACUUAACCAGAAAGGGACGGCUAACUACGUGCCAGCAGCCGCGGUAAUUC